GGCCUGCUGGCGAAAUGGCAUCGCGUCAGAUUUCGGCUCUGAAGAUUGCAGGUUCGAUCCCUGCGUAGGUCG
rnacentral:tRNA from 1 species